GCGGGAUAAAAACACAGUCCGGUCGGUAGUCCGGGCGCUGCCGGGGGAGAUCCCGGCCAGUCAGUAACCUGCCUCCUUUGGUUGUCCGUUCCCGC
rnacentral:ncRNA from 1 species